rnacentral:rRNA from 1 species
UACGUAGGGUGCGAGCGUUGUCCGGAAUUAUUGGGCGUAAAGAGCUCGUAGGCGGUGUGUCACGUCGGCCGUGAAAACCUGCAGCUUAACUGUGGGCGUGCGGUCGAUACGGGCAUCACUGGAGUUCGGCAGGGGAGACUGGAAUUCCAGGUGUAGCGGUGAAAUGCGCAGAUAUCAGGAGGAACACCGGUGGCGAAGGCGGGUCUCUGGGCCGAUACUGACGCUGAGGAGCGAAAGCGUGGGGAGCAAACAGG